UACAGAGGGGGCAAGCGUUGUUCGGAAUUACUGGGCGUAAAGGGCUCGUAGGCGGCCAACUAAGUCGGAUGUGAAAUCCCUAGGCUCAACCUGGGAACUGCAUCCGAUACUGGAUGGCUUGAAUUCGGGAGAGGGAUGCAGAAUUCCAGGUGUAGCGGUGAAAUGCGUAGAUAUCUGGAGGAAUACCGGUGGCGAAGGCGGCAUCCUGGACCGACAUUGACGCUGAGGAGCGAAAGCCAGGGGAGCAAACGGG
rnacentral:rRNA from 1 species